rnacentral:rRNA from 1 species
CUUGACGAUCAUAGAGCGUUGGAACCACCUGAUCCCUUCCCGAACUCAGAAGUGAAACGA